ACUGCUCAGUAACACGUGGAUAACCUGCCCAAGGGGAGGGGAUAACCCCGGGAAACUGGGGAUAAUACCCUAUAGGUUACAGAUGCUGGAAUGCCCUGUAACCAAAAGCUCCGGCGCCCUAGGAUGGAUCUGCGGCCGAUUAGGUUGUUGUUGGGGUAACGGCCCAACAAGCCCGUAAUCGGUACGGGUUGUGGGAGCAGGAGCCCGGAGUUGGAUUCUGAGACACGAAUCCAGGCCCUACGGGGGCGCAGCAGGCGCGAAACCUUUACAAUGCGGGCAACCGUGAUAAGGGAACCUCGAGUGCCUGUAAACGCAGGCUGUUCAGGUGUUUAAAACGCACCUGGAGAAAGGGCCGGGCAAGACCGGUGCCAGCCGCCGCGGUAAUACCGGCGGCUCGAGUGGUGGCCGCUUUUAUUGGGCUUAAAGCGUUCGUAGCUGGGUUGUUAAGUCUCUUGGGAAAUCUGGCGGCUUAACCGUCAGGCGUCUAAGGGAUACUGGCAAUCUUGGAACCGGGAGAGGUGAGGGGUACUUCGGGGUAGGGGUGAAAUCCUGUAAUCCUCGAGGGACCACCUGUGGCGAAGGCGCCUCACCAGAACGGCUUCGACAGUGAGGGACGAAAGCUGGGGGAGCAAACCGGAUUAGAUACCCGGGUAGUCCCAGCCGUAAACGAUGCGCGUUAGGUGUAUCGGUAACCACGAGUUACCGAGGUGCCGAAGGGAAACCGUGAAACGCGCCGCCUGGGAAGUACGGUCGCAAGGCUGAAACUUAAAGGAAUUGGCGGGGGAGCAC
rnacentral:rRNA from 1 species